rnacentral:lncRNA from 1 species
UCAAGAUCUAAAUAUGAUUACUUUGAACUUUGAGAUAUAAUUCUAAGGCCUGAAAAUGCCUGGUAAGGGGGGAUGCUUCCUGCUAUAUGCAACAACCACCUGUCCGGUGAGGUUUUGUACGAGUAGGAGCACCACUUCUUGUUCUGUCCUUGUCCUAUAGUUUAUUUUUGCAGAAGACUGUAGGUAGAAUAAAGGGGCCACUGUGAUGCAACCUAAGAACACUGAGGCUAAAAUGGAUACAAUGUCAUUUUAUAACAUUAGGUCAAUGAUGAGAUGAACCACCUCUGAGACAGGACUUGUCCCAGGCCCAGAAAAGGAAAAACAGGUCGCUGUGGGGCUGGUACCUUACAGACGUCCUCCUGCCAGCAGCCGGAAAUGGCCUCCAGAGCCAGGAGGACCAGGUGUGAAUCUUGGCUUGGCCACUGAGGAGCCAGGUAACCUUGGACAGCAGGUGGUGAAUAACCAGGAAUUGUAAAGAACCUGAGACCCAGAUACAGGAGUGAGAUACAACUUACAUAGCAUGGACUGUCACCAUUAGUAACUGGAAGUUCCUGGGCAAGUUGUGGUACUUCCCAGUACCUGCCAUCCACGUGUAAACUCUUGUUGCCAGCUGUGUGCUUACAGAGGACCACAAAGCUGUUGACAUCUGCCAUCUGGCAUUGGAAGGUCAGAUAGGUCCAGCACUCAGGCAUGUGAACUUCUGGGACCUCACACGCAGGGGACAUCACCAGGAGAUCCCAGCAAGAGCCCCCUGGAAUUCGAACCCCCCAGACCCUGAGCCCAGCCUGGGCGUGGCCAGCAGGACUCAGCAUCCUGUAUCCACUCAGGGAAGACCUGCUCUGACUCGCCUUGCUGCCUCAGGCCAGUAGAUGUCUGGAGUGAG